UAUUAAGUGAGUAAAGCUAAAGCGAUAUGGCAUUUGCUAGCAAAUGUGCCAUAUCGCUUUAAUUUUACGAAUAAACACCGUGAGGAAGUAGCACGGUAGUGCGGAUUCCGAAUGGUGUUUAGGAUUACGAAAGCGAAGCGGAGUAAUCCGCACUUAAUA
rnacentral:sRNA from 1 species